UACGGGGGGAGCAAGCGUUGUUCGGAUUUACUGGGCGUAAAGGGCGCGUAGGCGGUCGAUCAAGUCGCGUGUGAAAGCCCCCGGCUCAACUGGGGAGGGUCACGCGAUACUGAUCGACUCGAAGGCAGGAGAGGGUAGUGGAAUUCCCGGUGUAGUGGUGAAAUGCGUGGAUAUCGAGAAGAACACUUAGGGCGUAGGCAAGACUCUGGACAAAUGCUGACGCUCAUGCACGAAGGCUAGGGUAGCGAACGGG
rnacentral:rRNA from 1 species